AACAAAAACGACUUCGGGAACCGGUCUCUCAUCCAGAGACCGGUCCCUCGCUGCGUAACAGAAAAACCAUCGCUCUAGAACCGGUUUUACUUUUCAGAGACCGGUUGCCUCAACUUUCCACGCAUAGAGGACCCUCGGGGACCGGUCUCUCAUCUCACGGACCGGUCCCAGAACACUAAAAUGUUCAGAUUUAACUUUUUAAUGCAAUCUAAGUCUUCUAAACUUAUUUUAAUCAAUUAAAAUCACCAUAACUGAUCUAUUCUUCAUACCCGAGUUGCCGAGCUUUCCGAAUGAAUUUUUGAUCUUCAAACUGAAUCUUAGUUUUAAAACUCCGUGUUUGACUCUUCAAGACUCCAUUCGACUUUACGAAAUUCGCCAACCUAGAAAAUCUUUAACAUCACUUACAAUUCCAAUUCUCGCCGACGCUUAUCAGCAUAGCUAUUCUAUCUGCUCUAAGCUGAAAU
rnacentral:lncRNA from 1 species